UUAACUAUUAUAUAGUACUCAGACGACACUAAUAAACAGAGUUUAGGGUCCUCUGGCGAGCGCUCACCAGCGUGAAGCCGGUGGCCGAAGCGGCUCGCCAAAGCAACAAAGGUAUAAUUAACAUAGGGUUGGAGAGUCACCCUUGCGGGCGAGUUUCUCUGUAAUGAUCCCUCCGCAGGUUCACCUACGGAGA
rnacentral:misc_RNA from 1 species